GUUGCCAGUGUGAUCCCUCUGGCCCUGCGAGGGCCGUCUGGUUUAGGGAACUUCCCCACAAUUUCGCUUGCGUGCUUUCUUCAAGGCUGGAUAAGGGUCCAUUCCACACGCUAGAGUUCUGAUGUUGGCUGUGUAAAUACCAACAACGUUGAGAAAGGGAAAAUGUGACAAAUUUAGCGAUCUAGCCAGGUCGGAGGGUCCCUAGGCGCUUUCGUAGGUAGUGGUUGCGCAACAUUAGGGACUCCUGACAAAAAUCAACCGUGACUGUUUUCCUUGUUCCCUCUCGCAGUCUCCUCUCUCACGUUGUUAUUGUCAUUAUCGUUAAUUGACGAGAAAAUAAACAGCAAUAACCCGCCGCUGCCCCAAUAGCGUAGGCGGAGCAUUGAUAGUUUAGAGAACGCGGGGAAGUGGCGGACUUCUAACAUGAGCCAU
rnacentral:sRNA from 1 species